UACAGAGGAUGCAAGCGUUAUCCGGAAUGAUUGGGCGUAAAGCGUCUGUAGGCGGCUUUACAGGUCCGCUGUGAAAACUCGAGGCUCAACCUCGAGCUGUCGGUGGAAACCGUAAGGCUAGAGUCCGGAAGAGGAGUGUGGAAUUCCCGGUGUAGAGGUGAAAUUCGUAGAUAUUCGGCGGAACACCAGUGGCGAAGGCGACUCACUGGCCCGAUACUGACGCUGAGGCGCGAAAGCGUGGGGAGCAAACAGG
rnacentral:rRNA from 1 species